rnacentral:rRNA from 1 species
GAGUUUGAUCUUGGCUCAGAUUGACCGCUGGCGGCAUGCCUUACACAUGCAAGUCGAACGGCAGCACGGGAGCUUGCUCCUGGUGGCGAGUGGCGAACGGGUGAGUAAUGCAUCGGAACGUAUCCUGGAGUGGGGGAUAACGUAGCGAAAGUUACGCUAAUACCGCAUAUUCUGUGAGCAGGAAAGUGGGGGACCUUCGGGCCUCGCGCUCUUGGAGCGGCCGAUGUCGGAUUAGCUAGUUGGUGAGGUAAAGGCUCACCAAGGCGACGAUCCGUAGCAGGUCUGAGAGGAUGAUCUGCCACACUGGAACUGAGACACGGUCCAGACUCCUACGGGAGGCAGCAGUGGGGAAUUUUGGACAAUGGGGGCAACCCUGAUCCAGCCAUGCCGCGUGAGUGAAGAAGGCC